AAUUUGAUGAUUAAAACCAUUGAUAUCAAUUUUUUUCUUCUGAGGAUGUAUAUGCAGGAUAAAUAGUUAAGGAAUUCUUCGUUUAUGAAAUU
rnacentral:snoRNA from 1 species